UACAGAGGCCUCGAGCGUUAGGCGGAAUCACUGGGCUUAAAGCGUGUGUAGGCGGACUUCUAAGUACCUUGUGAAAUCCCACGGCUCACCCGUGGAACUGCUCGGUAUACUGGUCGUCUUGAGCCUUCUAGGGCGAGUGGAACAAAUGGUGGAGCGGUGAAAUGCGUAGAUAUCAUUGGAACGCCAAUGGUGAAAACAACUCGCUGGGGAAGUGCUGACGCUGAGACACGAAAGCCAGGGAGCGAA
rnacentral:rRNA from 1 species